UCGAGAGUCAACACUCAAGAGCAAGUCAUAAGUCAAUAGAGAUGACCGGAGAAGGGAGGAUUUUACGCCGUCGUUGUAUCAACGUCGACGAUUCAGGCAGCUAAUGCGAACCCUUUGCAAUGUCUGUGAGAGCGCCGCUGCAACCCUCUUCUGCGCCGCCGCCGAGGCCGCCCUUUGCCGCUCCUGCGAUCAGGAGGAACUGCACACAGAAGUACUUCUUGGGUAUAAUCAAGAACCUGAUGGUGUGUGAUGCUUGCAAGAUCCUUCAAACAAGAACCUGAAAAGUAAUACAAAAUGACUCAUUUUCAAAAUUACACAUCUGCUUACCAGAACAAGAACCUGAAUAGUUAUCAAACACUUCAUUUUUUUUUUUUUCCAAAAUGACUCAUUUUCAAAAUUAAACACUUGAAAAGUUAAACCAAGCACACCCUAAUUCAAAGAUAAAUUAAUUUGACUUAUAUGGUGGGAAGUCUUGUCUUGGAGAUUACUUUCAAAACAGCUUUUUUCUCUCUGUUUUAAGAACUAUGGUUGGAUUGCUGGUAUAGUUUAAGAUUAUUAUUUCAAACUAGAUGUGUGAAAUAAUAAACAGAGCUUCUCUUUCCUACAAAUUUGUGGCUACAGAUGUUCUUGUUUAAAUUUCUCACAUAUCUCUUUUCAAGUAACACCAAAAUUUGUGGCUACUGAUGUUCUUGUUUGAAAUAUUUUCCUAUUUGAGCCUUUUUCGCCUUGGAAACGGGUCAACUUCAGCUUAUUUCAUUUGCUCGGAGGGACUUAAAGAGGACUAAGCUCAAUGAUUCAGAAUCUUUUAUUAGAGGUCAGGAGGUCCCAUCUUCCAGUGGAGCUACAGAUAAGCAUACGAGCAACGGAUACAAAUUGAAGAAAGAAGUUGAAUGGCAAGAAAGUAUUUGAAGGUGCAAGCUGAGAUUGUAGCUUAGAAAGCAGAGCCAAGAGUGAUCAAAUCAAGUAGGAGCCAAAUUUUUUCUGACCUCGAGGAAAUGGCCAUUUCUCAGGCAAGUGCGUGGUUCCAUAUCAUGCAGUAGUCUCUUUCACUGUAGAUAAUAUAUUACAGCUUUGAAAUUUAACGUUUUGAACUGUUGAUGCGGAAUGAUAGGGAUAUUUUUGUUACGUUCUUAUCUUAAUGCAUGAAUCACAAAACUUAUCGAACUUUCUUUUAGGAUGUUUGGCCCAAAGAAUUGGAGUUGGAGGAUUGGAGUUAAUAAUUCUCCUUGUUUGGCCCAAGGAGUUCCAGAACCCUACGUCUAAAAAAAGAGCACUUCAUAAAAUUUAUUCCACUCCUUGCCUCAUUUUUAAUUUCAAUUAAGGCUUUUACAAAACUAAUGACUCUUCAUAAAAUUUAUUCCCAUCAAAUAGAUAGAGUUUUCUCGAAUUCUAUGGUCCAUGUAUUUCUAUUUAUCUUGUACAACUCUAGUUUUCUUCAUGCAUGUAUCAUUCCAUGAUUAUUCUUGAAUUACAAGGUUCACUGUUCUUGAUCUGAAAUACUUUUGGAUUAGGUCUUGAAUAAUUUGUAACAUGAUAUUAAGAAAUUCUCAAUCUCUAGACAAUUAUUCCUCGAAAGAAAGCCUUAUUAUAUAUGCUCAUGAUUAAUGCAAAUUCAAGCAUCUUACAUAGGAUUGAGAAGAGCACAAACUAAACUAAAAUCAUCAACAAAAUGUUCAUUAAGCUGCUAAGAAUACACAAAAAUAGUUUUUUUUUUGUUCUUUUUAAAUUGCUAUAAAGCAUCAUCAUCAUAAACAUAACAAACAGAGCAAUU